GUUGGGGUGGGAAUAAGGCCAUGCUUCACUCCGUGGAAAAGGCCACUCUGGACUCCAGGUUGUCCAUCUGGAGCUGCAGACGUUUCAAAGUGCGGUCGGCAUCCCUGGACUUCCUCUUAUAGGCAAUCAGCACAGCGAUGAUGACCAACAGAAGCAGGCCACCGCCCCCUCCAAUGCCGAUAAUUGCGGGAAGCGUCAGCAGGCUGUCGGAGUAGAUGUGAAGAGUCCCGGGGGAAUAUUCAAACCCGCCGGCACGGAUCUGAACACACACAAAGUACACACAUUUGUUACCCAGAGAAAGUUUUUUCUUCUCAAAGCAACUCUGCUUUAUUCAUACGGUUACAUAGGAAUCAAUACAACCCCACUCCUCUGCUGGUGGCCACUAAGCAGCUGCACUAUCAGAGCUGAAGGUUCAGUUCACUGCUCAAAGGCAGCUCCACGCAGUCGUUAAGGGACAGGAAAUUGCUACUUAUUUACUUUCCCCCUACCAGAUUUACUUCAGCCAGUCUGAGGAUUUGAACUAUCGACUCCCAGAAAGACAUAAAAAAAAAGAAGAAAAAAAACUGGCAGAGGUCAUUUCUCCAACAGCAGAUGGUUUGAGAAUAGAUGAGGUGGUCUGGAGAGAUCGAAAGUUGGUGGUCUGAUGAAAGAGAAGUUGGUUGACCCAAUUUCUACCACAAGGAUCAUUAAACUUUUAUCUGUUCUGUACUCACACUAAACAGGCCGAUCUUUGACAGGCUCAUACUGGGGAGGCUUACAUCACCUGGACUGCUGUGAACAUUUCUUGCAGGAAAGGAUUUCAAUUCUUGCCGUUAGGGGAGCAGCUUCAGAGGGUUUCGGUAAUGAAGAUCUCACAAGCUAACUUGUUCAGUCCUUUGAAUGAUUUAGAGUCUUCUGAACUGCAGAUAUUUCAGCUUAUUUUGGUUUUUACAAUAGAUAUUUUGUCAUUAAUGUCCUCAUUUUUCACUGUCAGCACUCUCAGAGAACUGAUAAUAGGUCAGAAAGUGAAUGCUGUGUACGCAAACAAGGUUAAAGGGGUGCAGUGGAGCCAUACACACACACACUCUAGACUCUUGGAACACACACAUAUAUACACACCAUACACAUGCUUACACACAGUAUAAGCAAUCAAACAAAGUAAUCACCAGCAUUUAAAUCUCUCCCCAAGGAGUCUUGGUAAUUAUGGGAAGUCAAACACAUGUAAUGUUUUUUUUUCCUGACUAAAUACAUUUACAUAAGCGCAGUGUGUCUCAGAGAGAGAGAAAAAAACAAAAACUCACAGCACUGGAAUCCAUCAAAUCAAGCUAUCCACAAGGGGGGUUGAUAACCGAUUAAAAUGAGGUGUGAUUAUGCACUUUGAAGCGCUUGUAAGUGCACUUUCGCUUUAACAUUAUCAAAGUCUGAUUAAAAAAAUAAAUAAAAUAGAGAAGCUGUUAUAUCAAUAUCAAUGUAGUCAAUACCUACAAAUUAAAUCUGAAACAGUAGAGAUAAUUAGCCUGGCUUGUAUAAGAUUAAGCAGCCAAUUAGCUGUGUGGACACGAUCAGGUUGCAGAGAAGUUAGUUUGCAGAGGAAAUUGAACUAAAUUAACUUUGACUUAAAUUAAAAUUUGAGUUUGGAUAAGUUCGGCUGCAGAAAGACUUCUUACUCAAGCUGAUCACUGAAAAGAGUUCGCAAGUGACUCUGAAGAUAUAAUCUGAAGUUUGCACAAGCUGACAGACAAAGGUAGCAACUUGCUGCUAAACAUAAUAAAGCAUUUUAGUUGUACUAAUGCAGCUCAACUUGCAGUACGUCACUUCUACUGGCCCUGAAAAAACAUCAUGGCAAUGGCCAUAAUGUCGGUCUCGAGGCUAUAGAAUGGGUGAUGUCAUGAUAAAUUAAAAUGAAAUCCUCCAACGUAUCUGCAUUGUAACAUUCAAAAAGACAUUUGUCUGAAAAUAUGUGAGAAUAUCUGCAUCUGAGUUUAAAUCCUAUAUGCAGCCAUGAGGUGCUUUAAUAGGACAAGGAGUGCCAAUGGCUGUAAAAGAGGUAAUUUGGUAUGCGAAUGAGAGGGCACUUCAACAUUUCCGAAAACCUCUCUUACACUCUUCCAUUGAUUAAGCUCCUGUGUGCCUAAGGCUGCUGACUUCUGAUCCAGACUUUUGUUGAUCAUCCUUAAUGUGCAAUUAAUGGCUGGUACAAGUGAGUUACACAGAUAAUAAAACCACUCUGCAAGUAUAACUAGAGCAAAUUAUUCUGUGCUGGCAUGCAAAGAGAUUCAGUGGCAAUAAGGGCACCAAGUCGGUUGAUGUUUUGAAAAA